AUUUUGAUAUGUCAAGACAAACAUACUCCAUGUUGGAAAUGACAAGACCUCUUUACUUGUGUAAAGUAAUAUUAAUGACCAAACACAACCAGUGGGAGGGACUGGCGGAACAGUGGUGACAUCAACCAAGACAUACACUUUACAAAAUCAAGCGUCUGUCACGCCCUGACCGUAGAGAGCCUUUUUAUUUCUCUAUUUGGUUAGGUCAGGGUGUGAUUUGGGUGGGCAUUCUAGAUUAUAUAUUUCUAUGUUUUGUAUUUCUACAUGGGAGGAGAUCCUGGACGGCAAGGGGCCCUGGACGCAGAUUGGGGAGUAUUGCCGUCCAAGGGAGGAGAUAGAGGCAGCAAAAGAGGAACGGCAACGCUACGAGGAAUUGACACGGCAACAACAGAAGCCCGAGAGGCAGCUCCAAAAAAUGUUUUUGGGGGGGCACACGGGGAGAUUGGCAGAGUCAGGGUUUAGACCUGAGCCAACUCCCUGUGCUUACCGUGGGGAGCGUGUAACCAGUCAGGCACCGGGUUAUGCGGUGAUGCGCACUGUAUCUCCAGUGCGCAUUCAUAGCCCGGUGCGCUCUGUGCCUGCGCUCCGCAUUUGCCAUGCUAGAGUGAGCAUUCAGCCAGGACGGAUUGUGCCGGCUCAGCACUCCUUGUCUCCGGUGCGUCUCUUUGGCCCAGGAUAUUCUGCACCAGCUCUACGCACGGUAUCCCCAGUUCGCCAGCACAACCCAGUGCGGCCUGUGCCAGCUCCCUGCACUUGCCGUGAGACAGGGGGUAUUCAGCCAGGACUCGUUGUGCCAGCUCUACGCUCCAGACCUCCAGUCCGCCUCCACGGCCCAGGGUAUCCUGCGCCGGCUCUAUGCACUAUGUCUCCAGUGCGCCUUCACAACCCAGUGCGUCCUGUGCCAGCUCUCCACACUUACAGAGCUAAAGUGGGUAUCCAAACAGGACGUGUUGUGCCUGCUCCAUGCAGCCAGCCUCCAGUGAUGAUCCAUGGCACGAAGCCUCCAGUGAUGAUCCAUGGCACGAAGCCUCCAGUGAUGAUCCAUGGCACGAAGUCUCCAGUGAUGAUCCAUGGCACGAAGCCUCCAGUGAGGAUCCAUGGCCCGGAGCCUCCAGUGAUGAUCCAUGGCCCGGAGCCUCCAGUGAUAAUCCAUGGCCCGGUCCGGAGCCUCCGGCAACGAUCCAAGGUCCGGUCCCUCCGGCGAUGAUCCACGGUCCCUCCGGCGACGAUCCACGGUCCGGAGCUUCUGGUUACAAUCCACGGUCCGGGUCCUCCGGCGACGAUCCACGGUCCGGAGCUUUCGGCGACGACCCAUGAAAGAGUCGCCACCAGGGAUGGCGGAUCCGCAAGCAGAGCGGGGUCUACGUCCCGCACCGGAGCCGCCACCGAGGCUAGAUGCCCACCCGGACCCUCCCCUAUUGAGUCAGGUUUUGCG
rnacentral:lncRNA from 1 species